AGGCACACAUCCACAGAGCACUCUUCAAAUCAUCUACACAGUGGUUAUCCAACUAGGAUUAUAAAGGCACACAUUGACAUCGACCACUGUUGCAAUCAACGACACAGUCGCUAUCCAAGUAGCAUUAUAGAGCUGUCAUGCAACGCAACAACUGUGCUAUCUGCCAUCGCACAUCAACGAAGAAGUGCAGCCGCCCACAUUCCACCUCACGUCUGUCCGACCAGCUGCAAUCCUCGAGGACGCCCCACUGUACCACGAUUUCACUACGAUGUUUCACAAGAAGGAGCAGUGCG